CAGGAUUAGAUACCCUGGUAGUCCACGCCGUAAACGAUGAUCACUAGAUGUUAGUCCCGUUUUACGGGAUUAGUGUCGUAGCUAACGCGUUAAGUGAUCCGCCUGGGGAGUACGGUCGCAAGACUAAAACUUAAAGGAAUUGACGGGGGCCCGCACAAGCGGUGGAACAUGUGGUUUAAUUCGACACUACGCGAGGAACCUUACCUAGGCUUGACAUGCUUCUGACACCCGUAGAAACACGGUUUUUCGAGUUUACUCGAACAGUUGCACAGGUGCUGCAUGGCUGUCGUCAGCUCGUGUCGUGAGAUGUUGGGUUAAGUCCUUUAACGAGCGCAACCCUUUCUAUCAGUUGCUACUCACUUUGUGAGGCACUCUGAUGGUACUGCCUGGGAAACCAGGAGGAAGGUGGGGACGACGUCAAGUCAUCAUGGUCCUUAUGCCUAGGGCUACACACGUGUUACAAUGGCCAGCACAAUGGGUCGCUAGUCCGCAAGGGCAUGCUAAUCUCAAAAAACUGGUCCAAGUUCGGAUUGAGGUCUGCAACUCGACCUCAUGAAGUUGAAAUCGCUAGUAAUCGCGUAUCAGCAACGACGCGGUGAAUACGUUCUCGGGCCU
rnacentral:rRNA from 1 species